CCUACGGGAGGCUGCAGUGAGGAAUAUUGGUCAAUGGACGAGAGUCUGAACCAGCCAAGUAGCGUGAAGGAUGACUGCCCUCUGGGUUGUAAACUUCUUUUAUAUGGGAAUAAAAUGUUCCACGUGUGGGAUUUUGUAUGUACCAUAUGAAUAAGGAUCGGCGAACUCCGUGCCAGCAGCCCCGGUAAUAUGGAGGAUCCGAGCGUUAUCCGGAUUUCUUGUGUUUAAAGGGAGCGUAGGUGGAUUGUUAAGUCAGUUGUGGAAGUUUGCGGCUCAACCGUAAAAUUGCAGUUGAAACUGGCAGUCUUGAGUACAGUAGAGGUGGGCGGACUUCGUGGGGUAGCGGUGAAAUGCUUAGAUAUCACGAAGAACUCCGAUUGCGAAGGCAGUUCACUGGACUGCAACUGACACUGAGGCUCGAAAGUGUGGGUAUCAAACAGGAUUAGAUACCCUUGUAGUC
rnacentral:rRNA from 1 species